CAGCAAACCCCUGUACGCAGUCGUAGUCAACCUAGACGCCCUGAACCAGAACAGGAAGAUAAUUGGCGUUCAUCUGGCCCGAUACGUGCCCCAUCCCGUGAUCGCAGUUCAUAUGAACGGGAACAGCCACGUGCCAAACCACCCAUGCGCCGCCAAGGUACCGAAGAAUUCAAUUUGGACGAUGAAGGCCAGCC